rnacentral:lncRNA from 1 species
UGUGAGUGGAAGCUCAUUGUAGAGGUCACGUGCAAAGUGCUUGUCACUCAUCCAAUCACCUUGGGGAAGGUGGAGGAGCCAAUUGUUACCCUUGCAAGGUAUCACCUCAUUCGAGCGAGCGAGUCAACAGAAAAAUUGGGCCAACACUAGCAGUUUCAACAGGAGAAUACAAUUUUAGAGACUUCUGCAGAAGGAGAAGCCUGUCUGUCACA